rnacentral:hammerhead_ribozyme from 1 species
AUUCAGCUGAUGAAUCCCAAAUAGAGCGAAAUGCAUAUGCUGGAU